GAUGAACGCUGGCGGCGUGCCUAAUACAUGCAAGUCGAGCGAACAGACGAGGAGCUUGCUCCUCUGACGUUAGCGGCGGACGGGUGAGUAACACGUGGAUAACCUACCUAUAAGACUGGGAUAACUUCGGGAAACCGGAGCUAAUACCGGAUAAUAUAUUGAACCGCAUGGUUCAAUAGUGAAAGACGGUUUUGCUGUCACUUAUAGAUGGAUCCGCGCCGCAUUAGCUAGUUGGUAAGGUAACGGCUUACCAAGGCAACGAUGCGUAGCCGACCUGAGAGGGUGAUCGGCCACACUGGAACUGAGACACGGUCCAGACUCCUACGGGAGGCAGCAGUAGGGAAUCUUCCGCAAUGGGCGAAAGCCUGACGGAGCAACGCCGCGUGAGUGAUGAAGGGUUUCGGAUCGUAAAACUCUGUUAUUAGGGAAGAACAAAUGUGUAAGUAACUAUGCACGUCUUGACGGUACCUAAUCAGAAAGCCACGGCUAACUACGUG
rnacentral:rRNA from 1 species